GCACGUGUACCUAACCUUCCAGGUAAGAAACUUAGAGCAUCCACAUCAAUGAACCCUCUCUUGGGGUUCAUCUUUUCAGUUUUUUAUUAUUAAAAUUUUUUUCUUUUUCUUUUUGGUUUUUCCUUUAAAAAAAAAAAAAACUAGACCAAUCGCGGGCCGCCACGACAUGUGGGGCCCGCGCUACAGUGAUGAACUUUAGGAGAGAGGGGUUCAGCCAAGAGAGCUUUAGAAGAGAGGGGUUCAUGGGAUUGUAUUAUUUUUUUAUUUUUUUUCUUGAUUUCUGUGUGAACUCCUCCCAUAAACUCUCAAUGGGGGUGCUCUUAUGAAACAGCAGUUGAACCAAGUAAUUUAAACCAUACCCUAAGCUAAGAUCAUUAAUUUUGUGUCAACACAGAGAAUAGCGAAUAAAGGUCUUCUUCGAGGUUGAGUAGCUUUGCAUAGAGAGCUAUAGACUCAUUCAAUAUAUCUUACACAAUUAGAUAUAUAAAGCCAAUGUUGUGGCUUUGACCCAAAAAAAAGAGAAGCCAAUUUUGUGGCCUAUCUGCUAGCGAAAAUUUCACGUUUUUUUUUGUAACACUUUCACGUUUUAUAUAGAAUAUACAAUGUUUGAGGAAAAACAAACUAACGUUUAAAUAAUUACGUAAUACAUUAGCUAGUAAAACUGCCUCAACAAGUCGAUGGUACCAAGACACAAUGGCCUAAUUCACGUAAAGAAGCAAAAAUAAAUAACUUUAUAUUUAAGCUAGUAAGAACUUGGAAAAUGAGAUACCACUGCUCAAUUCUUUUUCUUUUGAUGCAUGCUAAGUAGACCAUACAUUGUAAUGUUGCUUUCAUGAUGGGGAUAAGGAUGGAUCUACGCUUUGGAAACAAAGCUAAAUAAUAUAUGUGAACCUACUGUGUAUACUUAUAUGAUAUAUAUCUUGUAUCUGUAAAUAUAUCUUUUCCACUGGCGAUAUUGUCAGGGACUUAGUCAAAAAUAUUUGCUGCAAAGUCCGCAUAGGGUUGGCCAUAGCCUUGAAAAUUUUCUUUCAUUCUUUUUUUUUUUUUUUUUUUUUGAAACACUGAAAAUUUUCUUUCAUUCAAUCUCGUUUUUUCUAACUGGACCCAUUUCCAUGCUCUUUUUUUUGAUAAAAAAUUUAAAUAAAAUUUUGAUAAAAUCUUUCCAAUAGAGUAUAAAAUACCUUCAAUCUAAAUAUACUAUAAUUUGGAAGCGAUAAUGUGUUUAUAUUAUUUUAUUAAUUUCAAUGUCUCUAGCUCAUUUAAUUGUAUUAUUGUACUAUAAUGGACCCAUAAGUGAUCAAUCACUUAUUUGAACGUACUUUAAAGGUUUGUAUGUAUUAGAAAGUUAUCUCUCUUUUUCUUAUAUAACUGUUUAGAAUAUGAAAUUCAAAUUUAACUUCUUAGUGAUGCUUAUGCUCGUGAUACAAAGGCAUAUAUGUUAAUCAGAUACAUAAAUUUUGGGAGGCUACAAUAAAACGAAAUGAUUCAGCGAUUUAUUGUCUAAAGUAAAUUACAAAGUUGAGAGAAGUGUUGGCAAGUCCGAUUCGGUUCUAGACCGGUACACAUGCCACACUAAAAACUUUGUGACUUUGUCUUGUCUUUUCAAACGAACUAAUAAAUAUAUGAUGUAAGAAAUAUAACUGACUUUUAUUUUAAGUACAUUAAUUAAACAUUGAAGAAGGAAAAUAAAAAGUAAAAGAGAUGCCAAGCUAUAUUUAUAUAUGUGGCUACAUGAAAGAUUUGGUCAAGUUGCAUUAG
rnacentral:lncRNA from 1 species